UACGAAGGGGGGCUAGCGUUGUUCGGAAUUACUGGGCGUAAAGCGCGCGCAGGCGGUUCUUUUAAGUCAGGGGUGAAAGCCCAGAGCUCAACUCUGGAAUUGCCUUUGAAACUAGAGAACUUGGGUACGGGAGAGGUGAGUGGAAUUCCGAGUGUAGAGGUGAAAUUCGUAGAUAUUCGGAAGAACACCAGUGGCGAAGGCGGCUCACUGGCCCGUUACCGACGCUCAGGCGCGACAGCGUGGGGAGCAAACAGG
rnacentral:rRNA from 1 species